rnacentral:lncRNA from 1 species
CCGCGCUGCAGCGUGUGGCUACUAGCAGCGGGCUGCUGCUCGGCGCUGCGCAUCAGGGCAGAGCCCAGCCCUCCCCUGCCAUGCCUGGGAGCACCACUGUGCUAAAGGUGCUCCCAACAUUUCCUGCGAUAUUAGCAGCCUCUCCUGCGAGCCACAGUGAGUGCAGCAAUGCAGGGACGUGCACUAAAUACACGCUGCCGCUGUCGGCUUUAAGGAUAACCGCACUGGUAGAGGUAGGGAAAAGAGAAAGCUCUACACAGGACCCUGCAUUCACCCUAAAAGCCUUUUGCACUGGUAUGGCUUGCUUGGCCGAGAUUGGAGAGAGAUGGAAUGUACAAACCUGCUUCUGUCAGAAAGGGUAAGUGUAGCAGGGCCAGGGGCUUUUGUGGAUG